rnacentral:rRNA from 1 species
UACGGGGGGGGCAAGCGUUGUUCGGAAUUACUGGGCGUAAAGGGCGCGUAGGCGGCCUUCUAAGUCGGACGUGAAAUCCCUCGGCUUAACCGAGGAACUGCGUCCGAUACUGAAAGGCUUGAAUCCGGGAGAGGGAUGUGGAAUUCCAGGUGUAGCGGUGAAAUGCGUAGAUAUCUGGAGGAACACCGGGUGGCGAAGGCGGCAUCCUGGGACCGGCAUUGACGCUGAGGCGCGAAAGCUAGGGGAGCAAACGGG